rnacentral:rRNA from 1 species
UACGUAGGUGGCAAGCGUUGUCCGGAUUUAUUGGGUUUAAAGGGUGCGUAGGCGGCUUUAUAAGUCAGUGCUGAAAUAUCCCGGCUUAACCGGGAGGGUGGCAUUGAUACUGCAGAGCUUGAGUGAAGUCGAGGUAGGCGGAAUUGACGGUGUAGCGGUGAAAUGCUUAGAUAUCGUCAAGAACACCGAUAGUGAAGACAGCUUACUAGACUUCAACUGACGCCGAGGCACGAAAGUGUGGGGAUCAAACAGG